UUUAUGGAGAGUUUGAUCCUGGCUCAGGAUGAACGCUGGCGGCGUGCCUAAUACAUGCAAGUCGAGCGAACGGAUGAGAAGCUUGCUUCUCUGAUGUUAGCGGCGGACGGGUGAGUAACACGUGGAUAACCUACCUAUAAGACUGGGACAACUUCGGGAAACCGGAGCUAAUACCGGAUAAUAUUUUGAACCGCAUGGUUCAAAAGUGAAAGACGGUCUUGCUGUCACUUAUAGAUGGAUCCGCGCUGCAUUAGCUAGUUGGUAAGGUAACGGCUUACCAAGGCAACGAUGCAUAGCCGACCUGAGAGGGUGAUCGGCCACACUGGAACUGAGACACGGUCCAGACUCCUACGGGAGGCAGCAGUAGGGAAU
rnacentral:rRNA from 1 species